AACGAACGCUGGCGGCAUGCCUAACACAUGCAAAUCGAACGAGACCUUCGGGUCUAGUGGCGCACGGGUGCGUAACGCGUGGGAACCUGCCCUUAGGUUCGGAAUAACUCCCCGAAAGGGGUGCUAAUACCGGAUAAUGUCUUCGGACCAAAGAUUUAUCGCCUUUGGAUGGGCCCGCGUUGGAUUAGCUAGUUGGUAGGGUAAAAGCCUACCAAGGCGACGAUCCAUAGCUGGUCUGAGAGGAUGAUCAGCCACACUGGGACUGAGACACGGCCCAGACUCCUACGGGAGGCAGCAGUGGGGAAUAUUGGACAAUGGGCGAAAGCCUGAUCCAGCAAUGCCGCGUGAGUGAUGAAGGCCUUAGGGUUGUAAAGCUCUUUUACCCGGGAUGAUAAUGACAGUACCGGGAGAAUAAGCUCCGGCUAACUCCGU
rnacentral:rRNA from 1 species